CCCUAGCCGCAAUCUGCGAAGGGUUCCUUCGCUCAGCCUGGUAUCAAUUACUGCAUCUCUCUUAGGAUAUCUUCUUUAAUUGUUUGCUGCGUGUUUCGUUGGGAACCUUUGAUUGGAUUGGGAUUGCUCGUGAUGAUUCAGGUCCGAGAGGAUCUUAGCGGAUUUCGGUGAGGCGGAUUCUUUCGCCGUUGAUCGAUUCAUGUUGUUACACACGCUGAAGCUCUUCUCCGUUUCGAUUCCCGAUUCCUCUAUUCUCGUGUUCCUUUUGCAUCUGUGAAAUUUCUUUGGUGUGCUGAGAUCGAAGUAGAUUGGCUGGUGAUGAUUCAGAUCCGAGAGGGUCUUAGCGGAUUUCGGUGAGGCGGAUUCGUUCGCCGUUGAUCGAUUCAUGUUGUUACACACACUGAAGCCUUUUCUUUUCUCUUAGCUAUCUAUAUUUUUCUUUUCUCGUGAAAUCUGUAUUCUGCGAUGCGAUGAUGAUUCAUAUAGGUUUUUUUGCAGUGGUGGCAUCUGUCACCGUGAGCUUUCAAACCAAAAUCGACUUCUCUUUCCACUGAGCAUUGCGCUACUCCAAUUUCUUCAUUUUAUUUGCUUAAUUAGUCCUUCGAUUUGUCUCGGUGAAGAGCUCUUGACCAUAGGAAGUGCCGUAUGACACUGUAAACAGCAGCUGCUUCUAUGCCGCUUCAAGUGUCCGUCCUUCGAUCAUAACCUCUGUGGUUUGGUCUGGGCUGGAAAUUCACAUUUGCACCGGCUUGAUUCAGCUGUGUGCGUGAUUUUAAACGGGUCUCUGAGGGAUUUCUGCAAUGUCUUUCUCGCUUUUGCAGUUUAUUCGAAUCAGAUUUUUGUGAUUUUUGGGCCCGAUGCCACGUCUCCGAUAGCUUCUAGCAUUGACCGGAGAUGCUACAUUGGGCCGAGAAAGAGUUGCAAGACGUUUCACAUUUUGAUAGGAACCUGUGGCUGUUAUUCAGUCGGUACACAGAGCCGGUUGUUGUGAUUAUAUUUGCUCUUCGACAUAGCUUUUAGAUGUCGCAUGUGUUUAGCUUUUAGAUGUCGUAUGUGUUUGUUGAUGUGGGCGAUGAUGAUAAAUCUAAGGCUUGUUUCUCAAAACAUUCGCAGUUGCCGCCUAAGAGCUUUCGCCCUGCCAGGCUUGAGAGCUAAUGCUGCUAAUUCCUUCCUUGGAUGUCUGAGCCAUGUUUUGACAUUACGCCUCGUCAGUCUUUUUUUGUGUGGUUAUAUGAUUCUUGAUUUUAUCAAAUUUGUUACUGGGCUUGAGAGCUAAUGCUGCUAAUUCCUUCCUUGUGUCUGAGCCAUGUUUUGGCAUUUCGCCAGUCUUUUUUUUGUGUGUUAUAUGAUUCUGGAUUCAGAAGAAAAGAUCUACUCCCUCUAUCCUGUAUUAUUACUUAAAUUUGCCUAAAUAUGGAUGUAUCUAUUCUUAAAAUGUGUCUAGAAUACAAGUGACGUAGAUACAUAUAAUAUUUUUACAAUAAUUUAGUAUCGGAGUGAGUACAUAAUUGGUGGCAUAGGCUGCCGUGUCAAGAAUUCAACUUAAACCGAUGCGGUGUACAGUUCUGAUAUCCUGAAAGAACCAUUGUAUCGAUCAGGAUCAGGAAAACUUGAAAAUUUGCGAAGCCCUGCGGUCGGGAGGUUCCUCUGAGAAAGAGAGGAAACAGCAGAAAUAUUCCUGCGCAGAAGUUUCUGGCAUAAACAUAACGGCCUUCUGUGGAAGACUUUAAUUUACGCAUGGUGCCGACCAAUGGAAAUAGUUCUGGGUUUUGUAGGAAAAGAAUCGAGAAAAUUAAUUUACGCAGCGAGUCCCCACCAUCCCACCAUCUCAUAUGAAACGACUCAAAUUUGGCCUUCUAUCCCUGUGAAAUGGCUCAAAUUUGUCUAAGGGCCUAUCCGUUUUGUGGGCAUUUUGAAGGAUUUUUAGAGGAAUCUGAACCGCAGGGUAUUUUCCUAUAGGCAGCAUUUGGUAUACAUGAUACGGGAUAGCACGUUCGUGACUCGUGAGGAUAAUAAGCCUGGCCGGAUUCGCCACCAUACGAUGCCUUUUUUUUAAUUGCUGCGUCAAAAUUAGAGCUAGUUCAAAGCGUGUACAUGGCUAAACAGAAAAAGCCUCUCCUAAAGAUUGUCACUGAUUUGAAUUAGAGCUAGUUCAAAGCAGCUAGUUCAAAACCGUGUACAUUGUCACUGAUUUGAAUUAGAGCUAGUUCAAAGCCGUGUACAGGCUAAACAGAAAAAGGUCAGAGAAUGAGUAAAUAGUUGGGCUUGUUUCGGUAAUGCCAUGAGAAUAGGCCCGCAACUCUCCAGCAGCUAUGGCUCAUGAACCAAACCGGGCAUCGGUGGUGGACUCAGAUUUUCGAUCAGUAUUGGAGUAAGCAAAAUUACUGUAUUUUUUUUAUAGUUUUUACAACUGAAAUAAAAUUUCAAAGCCCAAUCAUCUAGCUGGGUCCGCCAUUGGCUGAAACGUCUCUCGCCAGCUAGUGUUUUGAGGCGCUGUUCUUAGGGUGAACGUUUUUUUUUACAGCUUUGUCACGGUGAAGUUUUUUUUACCCGAAACCCUCUCAGGGCGAGUUAAUUAAAAAGUCCCUUUUGUUUUUUCCUGAGCGAGGCCUUAAUGGGCUGGAACGCUCAAGUGGCCCGUCCAGAAGCUGUCAGGCCGGGCAUUUUGCGCGUCAGAGAUGCAUGUAAUAAAAAAUUAUUUGACAUGUAAUAAAAAAUUAUUUAAUAUGUGAUGGAAGUAGUAGAAAUUAGGAAGUACAUGUUACUCUUAAGUAGCACGCAGCCAAUAACCACUGGAAUGCGCCCCCUCGCUUCAACUUUGAUUGUUGUUCGUCGUGUAUAAAUACGGGUGGGCAGAACACGUACUCCCUCGCUUCAACUUAUUGCAAAGUUUUACUAAAACCACGGCAACAUAUAUACACUGAUCCAACUGAUUGCAAACUCACGUUUACUCAGUUCAAGAGAUGACACGGCUGUAUCAUGCGGAAACAGUUGUGCUGCUGGACGGCCACGACAACCAGUCAUUGAUCAGCGAUGCUCUCAUGUCACGUACGUUCCUUAGCGCGGCAACACGAGUACACCAUGUACGUGACGAGAGCAAGAUCAUCGUGGUGACCAAGGAAAUCAGGAACCUCACCAUGCCCGGUGACGGGAUCGACGCCACGGUCAUCUCAGGCAGCCGGAGCAACCCUGACGGUCCGGGAACCGUUUGAGACGCUGACACUGACUGUAUAUCAUUGUAUGGUCAGGAAUUCAUCUCGCCCGAGAACGUGACAAUCGAAAACGCUGUCGGUGCUGCCAAGAACCAGGCUCUACUUAGCUUUCAAAUGUUAAUGACCGACAUGUCCCUGCUGCCAUUCGGGCGACACCGUCUCCAUCGCUCGCACUGUAGAUUUCAUCUUCGGCGAUGCGACGACCAUCCUCCAAAGGUGUGACAUCGUCACCCGGCUGCCCCUCCACGGGCAAAGUAACAACAUCACGGCUCGAAGCCGUGAAAAGGUUGAGGAUGCAUCCGGCUUUGUGUUCCUAUUCUGCAACGCCGUCUUGUCUAACGACCUCGCCGACGUCAACACAUACCUCGGCCGUUGCUGGAGGACCUCGCCGACGUCAACACAUCCCAGCCACCCUUGGAGGCCAUUGGUGCGAGUUGUGUUCAUGGAAUGCAACAUGUCCAUAACUGUAACUCCCAAGCAGUGGCUCGAGUGGAACGGCAGCCCCGAUGUCAAUCGGUUCUUCUAAUUUGGUGCCCCCUGGAUUAAAAAGGUCAACCGUUGGACGAAGUGUAUUUUAGCUAAUAAAAAUUCUCAUUUACUA